rnacentral:misc_RNA from 1 species
GAUGAAGAACGUAGCGAAAUGCGAUAAGUAAUGUGAAUUGCAGAAUUCAGUGAAUCAUCGAAUCUUUGAACGCACAUUGCGCCCGCCAGUAUUCUGGCGGGCAUGCCUGUUCGAGCGUCAUUUCAACCAUCAAGCCCCCGGCUUGUGUUGGGGACCUGCGGCUGCCGCAGGCCCUGAAAACCAGUGGCGGGCUCGCUAGUCACUCCGGGCGUAGUAAUACAUCUCGCUCAGGGCGUGCUGCGGGUUCCGGCCGUUAAAAAGCCUUAUUUACCCAAGGUUGACCUCGGAUCAGGUAGGAAGACCCGCUGAACUUAAGCAUAUCAAUAAGCGGAGGA